AAGUCGUAACAAGGUUUCCCUAGAAUAAGUCUUGGAACAGAUCAGUCUUGAUCCUUCCGUGGUGACACUUAUAGAAGCCUAUGUGACCUUGCCAGAGGUACCCCACGACUCUAAACAAUGGUGGCUCACACAAGUUAGCGCCUAGCGCUGGCAACAUGAUCGAAUUGACGGGGACACCCUAAAGCCUGCAACACUAACUCCCUGUGGAAACACGCGGAGGGCUCAUGGUAACAACAUGAGGAGUAAGAGAGUGCAGCGAUGAACCUAGGUCUUCCUAGGGGAAAUGGGCAAUCCGCAGCGAAGCUCCUACGGCUACUAGCUACGGAGAACGUUCACAGACUAAGUGGUUGUGGGUAGGGCCUCUAGGCUCUGCUUAAGAUAUAGUCGGGCCCCUCGAGAAAUCGAGGGGGUAAGUCAUUACACAGUAAACCGGUUCCGUAGGUGAACCUGCGGAAGGAUCAUUACAGAGUUCAUGCCCUUCGGGGUAGACCUCCCACCCUUGUGUAUUUAUACCUUUGUUGCUUUGGUAGGUCCGUUGGGCUUCGGCCUGGCUACUGGCUCCGGCUGGUGAGUGCCUACCAGAGGAUACUAAACUCUGAAUGUUAGUGUCGUCUGAGUACUAUAUAAUAGUUAAAA
rnacentral:ncRNA from 1 species